UGCCCCCAACAAAAAUAUGGUUCAUAAACCUCACAUUUUAACUUUUGUAAAAGCUUAUUAUAUCCCACUUUGUAGAAGCUUGUCUCAAGUUCUGAGGCGCGCCCCUGCUGCUGCCACAUCCAUCCAGGCAUACAACCUCCUUCAUUGUGCCUUAUGCAUGGGGGACGACUGGUGGACGGACGAUGCAGGCAUGACAGGAGGGCCAGCCUCAUGGUAUGCAACUAAAGCUUUGACAUCAAACGUGCCUCUUUUACUUCAACCUAAGGUGAAAGAUGUGGGAUAUGAAUUCCCAAUGCUUCCUAGGCCUACUAUAAGCUUGGAGAUCUCCGUACAUGUGGUUCAU
rnacentral:lncRNA from 1 species